rnacentral:rRNA from 1 species
UACGGUUGCAAAGCUGAAACUUAAAGGAAUUGACGGAAGGGCACCACCAGGAGUGGAGCCUGUGGCUUAAUUUGACUCAACACGGGAAACCUCACCCGGUCCGGACACUGGAAGGAUUGACAGACUAAAGCUCUUUCUUGAUUCAGUGGGUGGUGGUGCAUGGCCGUUCUUAGUUGGUGGAGUGAUUUGUCUGGUUAAUUCCGAUAACGAACGAGACUCUCGCCUGCUAAAUAGUUUUCCAUACGUUACUUUAUGGAACCUAAAACUUCUUAGAGGUACAAGUGGCGUUUAGCCACACRAAACAGAGCAAUAACAGGUCUGUGAUGCCCUUAGAUGUCCGGGGCCGCACAUGUGCUACAAUGAAUGCAUCAACGUGUAUCARCCUCGCCCGAAAGGGUUGGGGAAUCCGCUGAACGGCAUUCUCAGUAGGGAUUGGGGAUUGCAAUUAUUUCCCAUGAACACGGAAUUCCCAGUAGGCGCCAGUCAUCAGCUGGCGUCGAUUGAUACGUACUACUCUGUGCGGUGGAUCACUCGGCUCGUGUGUCGAUGAAGAGCGCAGCUUGCUGCGAGAAGUAAUGUGAAUUGCAGAACCACAUUGAAACAUCGACAUCUUGAACGCACAUGGCGGCCUCCGGGUUACUCCGGAGGCCACGUCUGUCUGAGAGUCGGAAUUGUAGUGCUUUAAAAAUCGGCGGUCACCACCAAAAUAYAUGUCGUAUACAAUAGAYACGAUAGGUGGAUGUCCGCGAGGGUUGCUUCUCGGUAGAAAGAUACAUACAAAAAGUAAAAGAGAAGCCGCCGAGUGGCGAGUUGUUGAAAGUAGCCCAGCGAAACAACGGAACAAACCCUCGGAAUAAGAAAGAAAAAGACGUGCUGUACGAAAAAGUGCAACG